rnacentral:rRNA from 1 species
AACGCGAAGAACCUUACCUGGGCUAGAAUGUAACUUGACCGAUCCUGAAAGGGGUCUUUGUAGCAAUACACAGGUUACAAGGUGCUGCAUGGUUGUCGUCAGCUCGUGCCGUGAGGUGUUGGGUUAAGUCCCGCAACGAGCGCAACCCCUAUCUUUAGUUGCCAGCGAGUCAUGUCGGGGACUCUAAAGAGACUGCCUGCGUAAGCAGAGAGGAAGGAGGGGACGACGUCAAAUCAUCAUGGCCUUUAUGCCCAGGGCUACACACGUGCUACAAUGGUGUUUACAAAGGGCAGCCAACUGGCAACAGUGAGCCAAUCCCAGAAAAAACAUCUCAGUUCGGAUUGAAGUCUGCAACCCGACUUCAUGAAGCUGGAAUCGCUAGUAAUCGUGGAUCAGCAAUGCCACGGUGAAUACGUUCCCGGGCCUUGUACACACCGCUAGUC